AGACAAAAAAGAAAGAAAGAAAGAAAGAAAGGCUCUAAGACGACAGACUAUAUGACACAGACAGACAGACAAACAGACAGACAGACAGGCAGGCAGGCAGACUGUAUCGUUUUUUCUUUCCCUUUUUAUCUUUCUUCAUUCUUUUCUGCUUUUUUCUUUCUCCUUU
rnacentral:ribozyme from 1 species